rnacentral:rRNA from 1 species
CCUACGGGAGGCAGCAGUGGGGAAUAUUGCACAAUGGGGGGAACCCUGAUGCAGCGACGCCGCGUGGGUGAAGGAGUAUUUCGGUAUGUAAAGCCCUAUCAGCAGGGAAGAACAAUGACGGUACCUGACUAAGAAGCACCGGCUAAAUACGUGCCAGCAGCCGCGGUAAUACGUAUGGUGCAAGCGUUAUCCGGAUUUACUGGGUGUAAAGGGAGCGCAGGCGGUGCGUUAAGCCCAGUGUGAAAGUCCGCGGCCCAACCGCGGGACUGCAUUGGGAACUGGCGCGCUGGAGUGCCGGAGGGGUAGGCGGAAUUCCUAGUGUAGCGAUGAAAUGCGUAGAUAUUAGGAGGAACACCAGUGGCGAAGGCGGCCUACUGGACGGUGACUGACGCUGAGGCUCGAAAGCGUGGGGAGCAAACAGGAUUAGAUACCCGAGUAGUC